CAGACUCACUUCCUUACUUCCAUCGUUCUUCGUCCCUCACCUCCCUCGCCUACAGUCCGUCAAUGCCAGUUUCCAGGUGUGUUCUUCGUUCUCAAACAACCCUUAAAGGUGAACACGGUACAGCUCGGUGGGCAGUUUCCAGCCAUCCGUCCCUCACCUAGCCGUCCGUCAGUGCCAGUUUCCAGCAGUCCGUCCCUCACCUAGCUUUCCGUCAGUGCCAGUUUGCUGUCCGUUCCUCACCUAUACUUGUUGCUAUACACACAGAUAUUUGCCGAUGAUAUAACCAAUGCGGCUCUGAGAUGAUAGCACGAGUUCGUUGCUUGCACUUGAUUUGAGUUUAGGCGCCUUUGAAGAUAUUCAAAUUCCGUUAAAUUCUUCCUUUUUUCAAUCUCUGAAUCCACCGAAAAUGGCUUCCCAAAACCCAGCGGAGGAAGAAGACAACUCAAAUCGGAAGUGGUCCCUCGCAGACUUCGAGAUCGGUAAACCCCUCGGCAAAGGCAAAUUCGGCAGGGUCUACGUCGCCAGAGAGAUCAAGAGCAAAUAUAUUGUGGCAUUGAAGGUUAUUUUUAAGCAACAAAUUGAAAAGUACAGAAUUCAACAUCAACUAAGGAGAGAGAUGGAGAUACAAUCCGCUCUUCGCCACCCGAACAUCCUGCGACUCUAUGGUUGGUUUCAUGACGAUGAGCGUGUUUUCUUGAUUCUUGAAUAUGCUCAUAACGGUGAGCUUUACAAGGAGCUAAGAAAAAAAGGUCAUCUCACUGAGAAGCAGGCUGCCACGUAUAUUUUGAGCCUCACAAAGGCAUUAGCUUAUUGUCAUGAGAAGCAUGUUAUUCAUAGGGAUAUCAAGCCCGAAAAUUUGUUACUUGACCAUGAGGGUCGUCUUAAAAUUGCCGACUUUGGUUGGUCUGUACAGUCUAGUAGCAAAAGACAUACCAUGUGUGGAACAUUGGAUUAUUUAGCACCAGAAAUGGUUGAAAACAGAGCUCAUGACUAUGCGGUUGAUAACUGGACUCUCGGUAUCCUUUGUUAUGAGUUCCUCUAUGGUUCUCCUCCAUUUGAGGCUGAGAGUCAAGCAGAUACCUUCAAAAGGAUAAUGAAGGUUGACCUAAGCUUCCCUUCCUCCCCUGCCGUUUCUUCAGAUGCCAAAAAUCUUAUUAGUCGGCUCCUGGUGAAAGACUCCUCAAGACGGCUCUCUCUUCAGAAGAUAAGGGAGCAUCCUUGGAUAAUCAAGAAUGCAAAUCCUAUGGGUAUCCGCAAGUAGUAUAAACUCUAGUCAGUCAUGUACGAGCGACUAAGAUUGAAUCGUGCAUCUGAUGUUGAAAAAUAUAGGCAAAUAUAAGUGCUAUGCAGUGUUCAAGUCUAUCAUCAACUUGAAUGACACUUUACCCUCACUGUGAGGAUUAUGAAGCUUAGGAUUUAAUGUUAGAGAAAUAUAAAAAUCAUUAAUGGAACAUCACCCAACAACAUAAGUUUUUGGGUUGAAUUGGUUCUUUACAUGGUAUCAGAGUGUCGGUGUCAUGGGUUUGAUCCUCAUCACCCCCUAUUUAGUAAAUAAUUAAUUAAAUCUUGUGGAGUUUCUUAACACAGGUGAAAUUUCUUCCAUUCUUCUAUAUGCAGUUAAAGUAGGCCUGACUAACGAC